rnacentral:rRNA from 1 species
GGAUUAGAUACCCUGGUAGUCCACACCGUAAACGAUGUCUACUAGCUGUUUGUGUCUUUAAGACGUGAGUAGCGCAGUUAACGCGCUAAGUAGACCGCCUGGGGAGUACGGCCGCAAGGUUAAAACUCAAAUGAAUUGACGGGGGCCCGCACAAGCGGUGGAGCAUGUGGUUUAAUUCGAGGCAACGCGAAGAACCUUACCUACUCUUGACAUCCAGAGAACUUUCCAGAGAUGGAUUGGUGCCUUCGGGAACUCUGAGACAGGUGCUGCAUGGCUGUCGUCAGCUCGUGCUG